CCCGCUGAACUUAAGCAUAUCAAUAAGCCGGUGGAAAAGAAACUAACAAGGAUUCCCUGCAGUAACUGCGAGUGAAGCAGGGAAGAGCAUCACAUUUAAAAUCUGGCGUCACCACAGCACGCGAAUUGCUUUCCUACAAGAGGUGUUAUCCAGACUCUAGAUUAUAGUACAAGUUUCCUGGAAUGGAACAUCCCAGAGGGAGAAAAUCCCAUCUGGACCAGCAACUAUUGGCCAUAUCAGACGUUCUCAAAGAGUCGAGUUGUCUGGGAGUGCCGCUCACAAUGCGAGGUAAAUUUCUUCUAACGCUAACUCACCGCCAGAGACCUAUAGCUAACAAGUACCGUGAGGGAAAGAUGAAAAGCACCUUGAAAAGGGAGUUAAAAGCGCGUGAAAUUGUUAAAAGGGAAACAAUUGAAGCCAGUAGGACCAUGGAGAGUUCAGCGGUACCCAUUGAGUAUUGUUGCGACGAGAAUGCUUUACUGCAUCUCUAGCAAUGUACGCAGGUGGACUGCCGUGCAUUCUUUUCAUGGUUAGUCAGUGUCAAUUUGGGUUGUCGCAAAAGGACCUGGAGAAGGUGGCCAAUGCUUCGGUAUCGGCUUUAUAGCUCCUCGUAGAUACGAUGACCUGGAUUGGAAUCGACAACAGCUAACAGAGGUGCUGGAUCUGCGGUUGUGAACAUUUGAGAAUCAGUAGAGUCUUGGAUGGUAUCUAACCGAGAAAAGGUAUCUUGGAUGCUGUGGUGAGUACUGACGAAAUGGCCUUAAACGACCCGUCUUGAAACACGG
rnacentral:rRNA from 1 species